rnacentral:rRNA from 1 species
GAUGAACGCUGGCGGUAUGCUUAACACAUGCAAGUCGAACGGUCUCUUCGGAGAUAGUGGCGGACGGGUGAGUAACGCGUGAGAAUCUGGCUCUAGGUCUGGGACAACCACUGGAAACGGUGGCUAAUACCGGGUGUGCCGAAAGGUGAAAGGUUAACUGCCUGGAGAUGAGCUCGCGUCUGAUUAGCUAGUUGGUAGGGUAAGAGCUUACCAAGGCGACGAUCAGUAGCUGGUCUGAGAGGACGAUCAGCCACACUGGGACUGAGACACGGCCCAGACUCCUACGGGAGGCAGCAGUGGGGAAUUUUCCGCAAUGGGCGAAAGCCUGACGGAGCAAUACCGCGUGAGGGAGGAAGGCUCUUGGGUUGUAAACCUCUUUUCUCAGGGAAGAAAUUUGACGGUACUUGAGGAAUAAGCAUCGGCUAACUCCGUGCCAGCAGCCGCGGUAAUACGGAGGAUGCAAGCGUUAUCCGGAAUGAUUGGGCGUAAAGCGUUCGCAGGUGGCAUUGAAAGUCUGCUGUUAAAGAGUCUGGCUCAACCAGAUACAGGCAGUGGAAACUACAAAGCUAGAGUGCGGUAGGGGCAGAGGGAAUUCCUGGUGUAGCGGUGAAAUGCGUAGAGUUCAGGAAGAACACCGGUGGCGAAAGCGCUCUGCUAGGCCGCAACUGACACUGAGGGACGAAAGCUAGGGGAGCGAAUGGGAUUAGAUACCCCAGUAGUCCUAGCCGUAAACGAUGGAUACUAGGCGUUGCUUGUAUCGACCCGAGCAGUGCCGUAGCUAACGCGUUAAGUAUCCCGCCUGGGGAGUACGCACGCAAGUGUGAAACUCAAAGGAAUUGACGGGGGCCCGCACAAGCGGUGGAGUAUGUGGUUUAAUUCGAUGCAACGCGAAGAACCUUACCAAGGCUUGACAUGUCCGGAA